rnacentral:rRNA from 1 species
UACAGAGGUCCCGAGCGUUGUUCGGAUUCACUGGGCGUAAGGGGUGCGUAGGCGGUUUGGUAAGUUGGAUGUGAAAUCUCCAGGCUCAACUUGGAGGGGUCAUUCGAUACUGCCAUGACUAGAGUUCGGUAGGGGAGUGUGGAAUUCCUGGUGGAGCGGUGAAAUGCGCAGAUAUCAGGAGGAACACCCGUAGCGAAGGCGGCACUCUGGGCCGGAACUGACGCUGAGGCACGAAAGCCAGGGGAGCAAACGGG